rnacentral:rRNA from 1 species
AAAAGAGAAAGAGGGGAAGACCGAGAGAGGAGAAGGAAGGCUUCCAGAAGGAGAAGAUCGGCGGCGACGAGAGGGAGAAGGGGGGGCUCGAGCUGGUUGUUCUCCGGGGAGGUAGAGGGAGAGGGAAGCGAGGCCUGGCCAGCUGCCGCGGCUUGGGGCCGAGGAGGGUGAGGAGACGGAGGAGGCCGGGCUCGUGCUGGCGCUGGUGCUCGCCUAGGGUUUGGAAGCUUCGGCUGGCUCGGAGGCGUCAAGUGUAAUGGCCACACAGAGUGCUGUUCGGUUAAUUGGAGGGGCAGGGGCUGGUGGCUGGACUAAGGAUUUCGGAGCAUUCGACUCUCCACUGGGAAAUCUUCCAGGAGAAGGGCUGGGGUUUGUGGAGAAUGGCAGUGGGAUUUAUGGGGGCUGGGGGGAAUCUGUCCCAAAUCGAAGUGGAAGCGCACCUCCUAGCAUGGAGGGAUCUCUGGCUGCUCUUGGUAAUCUUAUAGGUCAGCGGAGUGGAAACUUUGACACCAGUUUAGGUAACUUGGACAAUGUGACUGGCAGUUCCACGGCUGAGGAGCAGUUACGUGCUGAUCCUGCAUACUUUGACUAUUAUGGUUCCAAGGUGAAUUUGAACCCAAGGCUUCCUCCUCCACUAAUCUCAAGGGAGAGCCGCCGCUUCAUGAACCGUGUUGGCAAGGUUAAAGAAUGGAGAGUGGUCUCCCAAGAUGACAGCAAUAAAGGCUCCUUAUUUAUACCUCGAUCUACUCUAUCAACUCACAAGGAAGAACCUGAAGAUGAUAAGUCUCCAAGGUUGGAUUCGAGUUCUGCAGAUGAUGAACAGAUGAAUCUUGUGGAUUUUGUGCAGGAGAGCUUCCAGCAGAACCCCGAUUCGUUGUAUGAUAACUCUUCACAUCUAUCAAGCAGCAGUAUUGGUGAUGGCAUAGCUGUCCAUUCUAAUAUUGACUCAUCAAGGAAUUUGCCACAUGAUGUUGUCAAGCCGUCAGGGUUGAAUUCGUGGACACCUGUACCUUUGGCCAGUGUACUGAGAAGUACUCUUAGCAACAAUCUUUCAUCUACAUCUGUUCCCAGUUCAUCAUGUUCUGAUAAUAACCCUACUGUACAAAUUUCUGAGCAACAGCAAGAAAAGCAGAGCAUAGACAUGAAGCCUGGAAAUGAUGUGCCUGUCAGUGGGGCAGUUGUUACUGAACUUGAUGUUGUGGAGUCUAGCAUGAAGAAUUUGAAGUUAUGUUUGGAUAGCCCGACUACGUCACAAGUUAAGCAGCAGUGGCAGGGCAAUUUCUUGCAGCAGUAUGGCUUCUCACCUCUAGUCCAAGGCGACCAUAUGCCAAUGACUCCUCAUGGAGCACAUCUGCCCAAUGUUCCUUUUGUUGACAACGUGUCUCAUACUCAGCUAAAACUACCCACUGGUGACAUGCAGCAACUUUUACCUCAACUUGGUAUGCCAACACCCUUUUAUACACCGAAUUCUUUUGGAAGCCCAUAUUAUCAGAAUUUGCAUCCAGCCAGUGUAUUGGCAAAUCCUUAUGUGACUGCUGGGUAUGCUUUGGGUGGUUCAGGUUUCCCACCCGUUAUGACUAGCUAUUCUCCCCAGAGUUCUGCUGCGACACCUCUAGACAGUCCUAUGACUCCAAGCUUUAGUGGUAGGCCAUCUGGUUUUCCUUCAGCAGGGAAUCUUACUGCAGGAACCGAGUUUGUUCAGCCAUAUAAAAUGUAUGGGCAACUCGGGGUUCCCAUGCAGCCACCUAUUCCCGACCCGAACUUUUUUCAGUUCUUUCAGCAUCCCUCUUUUCCACAGUAUGCUAGUGGAAAUCAAUAUAAUACAUUGGCUCCAAGGGGUAGUGUUUUUGGAAAUGUUGCUGAUAAUUUUGAUCCACUGUUUCAGGGGCAACCUUUCUCUGGAAUUCCCCCCUCUGGUAGAAAUGAUUCUGCGAGGUUUCAGUCCGCCUCAAGAAGUAUCACUGCUGUUUCUGGGUUUCAAGGGCAGCGAGAAAGGGAGAAAUUUGAUAACCCGAAGGCAUGCACUUUCCUGGAAGAACUGAAGUCUAACAGAGCACGUAGGGUUGAGCUAUCUGAUAUCACAGGUCGCAUAGUAGAUUUCAGCGCUGACCAACAUGGUAGCCGUUUCAUCCAGCAGAAAUUGGAAAACUGCACUGCUGAAGAGAAGGCAGCCGUGUUUGCAGAAGUUCUUCCUCAUGCUUCAUCUUUAAUGACUGAUGUGUUCGGGAAUUAUGUGAUCCAAAAGUUUUUUGAACAUGGAACUCCUGAGCAAAGAAGGGAUCUUGCCGCCAAGCUUGCUGGUCAUGUUGUACCUUUGAGCCUUCAGAUGUAUGGAUGCCGAGUAAUACAAAAGGCUCUGGAAGUUAUGGAACUUGACCAGAAAAUAGAUCUGGUCCGCGAGCUUGAUGGAAAUAUUAUGCGAUGUGUUCGUGACCAAAAUGGGAAUCAUGUUAUACAGAAGUGCAUAGAGUGUGUCCCCACGGAACAUAUUGGUUUUGUAGUAUCUGCUUUUCGGGGACAAGUUGCUAGCCUUUCAAUGCAUCCAUAUGGUUGCCGUGUUAUUCAGAGAGUUUUGGAGCAUUGUGGUGGUGAUUCACGAGGUCAGUGCAUAAUAGAUGAAAUAUUGCAGUCCGCUUGCAUCCUCGCACAAGACCAGUAUGGCAACUAUGUCACACAGCAUGUUGUGGAAAAAGGAAAAAGUCAUGAAAGGGCUCAAAUUAUCAGUAAGUUGGCUGGGCAGGUUGUCACCAUGAGCCAAAAUAAAUUUGCAUCAAAUGUGAUAGAGAAGUGUUUCCAACAUGGAGAUAUUGCGGAACGAGAUCUUCUAAUCAGAGAGAUUGUGGAGCAGACUGACGGAAAUGAUACCUUGCUGGCAAUGAUGAAGGAUCAGUAUGCUAAUUAUGUUGUUCAGAAGAUACUUGAAACAUGCAACGAUGAGCAGCGGGAACUUCUGGUCAGCCGUGUAAAGGGUCACUUGCAAGCACUGAGGAAGUACACCUAUGGCAAACAUAUCGCGAGCCGAGUCGAGCAGCUUUGCGGUGAAGGAGAUGCCGAGUGUGACUCAUAAGCGACGGGAAUGCCUCAACGCCCGGCAAAUUCAUCAGCAAGGAAGAAACCAUAACUUGGAACCGCGGUGCUUCAAAGUGCUAACAAGACUUGGAACUCCAGCAAAGGAAGAUUGUACAUAUGUGACUUUGUUUAGGCAGUGUAGGGAGGUGCUAGGCACAAGGUUUAUUCUGUGCGCACCAGUGUAUCUAUGUUGAUAUGUUAGGGUGUGCUUAUCCACACUGCACUAGUUGGUAGCCGUGUGCAAAAUAUGUAUAGUACCAGUGGUUUGGCUUGUAUGUGUGAUACAUGUGUGUAUCUUGACUGCUUGGUAAUGUAAUGGCUUGGUUGCUUGCUUAAAAUCUCCAGUUGUGUGGUAAAACAUCGUCCAUUCAUUGGGUUGACUGAGGAGAAAAUGGCCUGUGAUUUAUU